UACGGAGGGUGCAAGCGUUAAUCGGAAUUACUGGGCGUAAAGCGCACGCAGGUGGCUGAGUCAGUCGAUUGUGAAAGCCCUGGGCUUAACCUGGGAAUUGCAGUCGAUACUACUCAGCUAGAGUAUGGGAGAGGGUAGUGGAAUUCCCGGUGUAGCGGUGAAAUGCGUAGAUAUCGAGAGGAACAUCAGUGGCGAAGGCGGCUACCUGGCCCAAUACUGACACUCAGGUGCGACAGCGUGGGGAGCAAACAGG
rnacentral:rRNA from 1 species